CAGCCGCGGUAAUUCCAGCUCCAAUAGCGUAUAUUAAAGUUGUUGCAGUUAAAAAGCUCGUAGUUGAAUUUCGGGGUUAGUAGGUUGGUCAUGCCUCUGGUAUGUACUGGUCUCACUGAUUCCUCCUUCCUGAUGAGCCGUAAUGCCAUUAAUUUGGUGUUGCGGGGAAUUUGGACUGUUACUUUGAAAAAAUUAGAGUGUUUAAAGCAAGCUAACGCUUGAAUACAUUAGCAUGGAAUAAUGAAAUAGGACGUUCGAUCCUAUUUUGUUGGUUUCUAGGAUUGACGUAAUGAUUAAUAGGGAUAGUUGGGGGCAUUAGUAUUCAAUUGUCAGAGGUGAAAUUCUUGGAUUUAUUGAAGACUAACUACUGCGAAAGCAUUUGCCAAGGAUGUUUUCAUUAAUCAAGAACGAAAGUUAGGGGAUCGAAGACGAUCAGAUACCGUCGUAGUCUUAACCAUAAACUAGGCCGACUAGGGAUC
rnacentral:rRNA from 1 species